rnacentral:rRNA from 1 species
UACAGAGGGUGCGAGCGUUGUUCGGAAUUAUUGGGCGUAAAGGGCGCGUAGGCGGUGCGGUAAGUCACCUGUGAAAUCUCCUGGCUUAACUGGGAGUCUGCAGGCGAAACUGCCGUGCUGGAGUGUGGGAGAGGUGCGUGGAAUUCCCGGUGUAGCGGUGAAAUUCGUAGAUAUUGGGAAGAACACCGGUGGCGAAGGCGGCGCUCUGGACCGAGACUGACGCUGAGGCGCGAAAGCGUGGGGAGCAAACAGG